ACUCAUCUUCAGAUCAAAUUCAAUCAUGUAAGAUUGCCUCUUACCAACUUUCUUAAUUUGCUUUACAAUCAAUCUCCCCUUCUCUUCACCUCCCCCUCUAAUUAACCUUCUCGUGAGAAAACCUAAAAAGUCCCAAUGUUUAUUCUUCACAAUUUUCUCUUCUCCCUUUUUAUCGUCCCAUUUAUUAUCUUUCAAAGUUACAGCAUUAGCAUUUCUUAUCAGGUCCAAAACAUUGUUGCUCCUCAUUUACUCCUUACAACAAAACACUCUUGUAACUAUCAAUUAGAAUGACUUCAAGCACCUAUCCCAUUUCGUGCUUUCAUGUUUUACUGUAUCUCUGUUCAUAUUCUGUUCUACGCUUUGUUUUUGUAGGAUUGAUAGAAGAAUAGCUUCACGAACAGAGGUUAGAAUUUUGAAGCUUCUUCACACCAUAACUUUUGGCCUGUAUUUCCUACAAAUGACCUAUCAACGUUUAGAACAGCUAGCAGUAAUUGCUCAUUCAAUUGCAAACCCAGUAUCUUGGACAGAAAUGUUUAUGAUGGCCCUUUUUUCUUUCAUAUUGCUGCCUCAAAUGGCCAAAUAUCCUUAUUGUCGAAGCUUGCACACUAUCAAUCCGCCAUUUCAGUCACGAGGUCUAGCAAUAAGAAUUUACCUGCUAUGUUACUACAAAUUUUCUCUUUUUUUCCUGACUUCUUGUCCUUGAAACUAGUUGUUACCUAAUUGCAGAAAGUUUUCAGUCUAUGUUUUUGAUUGCUCAAGACUGUCAGCUGGCCUGUACGAGCUGCUCGGAAAAAAUUCAUUGCCCUAGCUUAUUGGAUGUUUUUGAAUAAUUAUCAUCACCAGGACUUUUUGAUGAAGAUUUGCCUUCAUGAAGAUUCUUGAGGUAGUAAUUGGUUGCUACUCUCUAGGAAUUCGCUUCAUGAAGAUUCUUGAGCUGUCUCUGCUUGUCAUGUUUUUUGGUUGUAACAAUUUUUUUUAAAUUACUCAACCGGUCAUUUUUUGGACUUUUUGGGCACAAAUUGGAACAAUUUGCAUGACAAUACUUGGUUCUUGUAGACUGACCAGAAAGAUUUUGUAUCUGCUUACUAAUUUAGGUUUGAUAUCAAUGACAAAAUCUCUCGCUCUCUUUCUCUCUCUCUCUAACUUUCUGUAAGAUUUGUUGAACAGAAAUGUCCUGCAAUUACCCGGAUUUUCUAGUUAGCUUUAUGAUUUUCUAUACACUGUCUUGAGUUUUGAGUAUUCUAUUUUGCAAUGGUGUUAUGCUCAGAGCUCACGGGAGACCUCAAUGGCUUAAUUACUGCCAUACGUAUCAAUAUCCCAUUAUUCCUUCUUCAACCACAUCAUUUUCAAAUUGGAGACAAACAUAUAGAAUGACACUCUCUUUCACUUCUAAGUGACUGAGAUGGCCAAAGCCUGAGAUCUACGGUGAUGCCUUCAACCUGUUGGCCAUGACAUGAGGUAGUAAUUCAUCAAUUAUGGACCUCAUUUGCUAUUCUGUCUCAUACUGCUUGCCUCUCAAAUUAGCUGCAAUUUAGUUGCAGAAAAUUGUUAGUCUGUCUUUAUGACUGCUUAUUGUCUGUUAGUUGACCUCUGCAAGCUACUCACCACCCUUCUUGAAGUUGUAUCUUAGCUCCUUUAGAUACAACAUGAUUUUAUGAGCUUGCCUGUUCUCUUUUUGCAGUUAAAAAUCGUAUGUCUAGAAUGAUGCUCUUACUUUAAGAUUCAUAGUUAUUCCAAAAUUACUGGGUCUAUAUGAUGUUGAUUAAAUCUUAUGUUGGUAGUCGCUUGACCAAAAAGAAGAAUUGCAUGAAGUUGUUCUUUUCAAUUUUGUCUGGCGUCUUUCUUAGGUUUCUGUAUCUUGAUUGAAAGUUAUAGGUACUUCAUAAACAUUACCAUAAAUAGGUGAUGCUUACAUGUCUUCAAUGGAAGCUUGACUUAAUAUCUUGUUUGUGCCUGAAUAACCAAAGGCACAAGAUUUUCUUGGGUGACCAAAGCAAGUUCUGCAUAAAAGAGUGAUAGGUUGCAAUUUUAUUAUUUAUUUUAUUAUUAAUUUCCCCUAUUACCUGAUCUGAUGUGGAUUAAUUGUUACAUUCUACUCACUUUUGAAAAUUUACAUUUAUUACAGGGAGUAGAACGAAAAUACCAUAACAAGUGCCAAUUUGGCAGUCCUCAGGGAAGAGUUCAAGUAACAGGCGUCCAGGGGCAUUUUUGGAAUAUGAAGACGCGACCCUUUUUGGUAAUUUGCAGAAGAUAGCAUUGAAAAAAGAAUGAAAGGCUGAAGUUUUUCUCUCCACGGGAGCCGCCGCACAGUAGUAGUUGACUACUUAGAUAGGAAAUAGAAAUAGUAGAGGAGAAGCACUACCCUGGAGUUUUUUAAGCUUUGACUUUUCUUUUUGAUUCUUGGUAGCUCUUUGCUCAGCACGAAUGUCAGGGGCACUGGAAGAAUUGAAUGAUUCCCUAUAGUUUUCCUCUUUUGACUUUUGCCUUUCAUCCUUAGUAGUUUUCUUCUCGUAUGUCUAGACAACUAGAAAGAAUUGGAUCAAUUGCUGUAGCUUGCCUUUCCCAUUGAUUGAAAUGAAUUGAAUUCUCCCAAUUUCGGAGACAAUGGCCGCUACUCUCUCUUCAAUUUUGUGUGGGUGUUCCUCACUAGGGAUGAACUAAAUCCCUUUUUCUAGUCAAGGAACAACGGAGGUUUUGGUGCGCCUAAAAAUUGUAAGAUCGAUUUAAUUUUAUCAUUUUCUUUUAUUUAUUGGUAUUCUCAUAUUCCCUAAUCGCAGUGCUUAUAGUUAUUUAAUUGAUUGAUUGUCUUAGAUCCGGAUAAUUAGUUAAUUUGGUAAUCUAUUGUCAAUUAGGGCAUUAAAUCUGUAAUUGUUUAAUUGCCCUGAAAUAGUGACAACUGGCACGAUUAGAUUUGUGUUACAGGGAUACGCGAGCUAAUCUGAAAUAACCCUGGUAGUGUGUUAUUUGAUUAGAAUAGGGCUUCUCUAAUACGUAAGGCAAUUGGGGAAUUAAAUCUUAACGGGCGUACCUAGGAUUAUUUCUCAAUUAGAGCAGUGAUUAACGGGCGUACCUUAAUCACCGACACCGUAAGGAGGAGUUGACUGUCAUCGCUUGUUUGGCAGUUAUAAUCUUUUUAUUAAUAAACAAUUGGAAUUGCCUUUGCAUCGAUGAUCAAUUGGGUAAACCAUUACUGAAGUUAUUUUUUGGCUAGACCUUUAAUUAUCAUUACUCUAAUUUUAGUGAAUUGUCAUUUAAUUUUUUGUUGGCUAUUUUAUUUUUAGUUAAAUUGUUUUAAUUGUCAUUCUUUAUGCAAAAACACCCCGUGUGUUACUUUGGAUUUCUAAAGAGACAAAUAUCCCCAAUCCUUGAGGAUACGACCCUACUUGUCCUAUUUACAAAUUAAUAAUUAUUUGUGAAAAAAUCAUCCCAUUCGGGUAUAUCAGAUCAAGCAAACUAUUCGGGAAUAGGGUGAAUCAAGUAACUCAUUGCACACCUAGAGUCCCUGCUUCAGUACUUGGAAUCAGAUUUUGGUUACUUUAAUUGGCAAUUAGAUUUAAUUUUAUUAUUGCACAGGUUUCGACAACCAGUCAAUUUUUGAUUCCCCCCACACCUAAACCAUACUUGUUCUCAAGUAUAAGAACAACAGACAAACACCAAUAUUUGACAAUGGCUAUUGCUCUUUCUACCAUAUUGCCAAGAUAUCAAGAAAAAUAUAUAUCAAGCAUCAGUGAUCAAAAUUCGAGAAAUAUUACCCCGGUUAGCUUCUAGACCACAAACUCCUUCAAUUCCAGGUUAACUAAUCUAAGAAAAAGGAAUGGCGCACAACAUUUAUCAGCAAAUGGUCCACUAUUAACCAAAAUCUCAACAUGAAAUCCAUAAAUCGGCAAACUGACUUAUAUCACACACUAACUCAACCUUCACUUUUUUUUCACGCUGUUUAUAUAUAUAUAUAUUUUUUCAAUAGCACAAAAGACUUAGUCUCUAGCCAUUGGAGCCUUUUGACCGAGUUCUAACAUUUGUCAGAUGAAAGAACCCGGUUACUCAGCUCCUAUUGCCACGCGACCACGUACUCAUAGUAAUUACUACUUUUUGACGCGAGAAUCGACAUUUUUGGUGAAGAUCCCCGGUUACUCAGUAGUAACAGCUAGAGGAGUACAGUCAACUCUUAUUUAUAUCCCAACAACACAAUAACUCGAAAUAACACAGCAUAAACAAACAAAAACAGCAGCCGCUAGCCUCAUUUCUUCAAAAAUGGAGAACUAAAGUUAAUAUUGGACCAAUUCACAUGAAAAUGCCAAUAAUCAUUCCCUAUGCCAACAAUCAUUCUUCAAUAUGGUAGAAGUGAAACCAAUUAACUAAUCAAGUAACAAUGUAAAAGAUUAUUUCUAAGAUUAGCUCUGUUUAUUUUUACUAUUUUAUUUUUAGUUGAAUUGCUUUAAUUGUCACCCCCUGAUACGAAAACACAUCCCGUGUUACUUUGGAUUUCAAAAGAGACAAAUAUCCCCAGUCCCUGAGAAUAUGACUCUACUUGCCCUAUUUAUAAAUUAAGAAUUAUUUGUGAAAAAGCCAUCCCAUUCGAGUAUAUCGGAUCAAGCAAACUCUUUGGGAACAGAGUGAAUCAAGUAACCCAUUGCACACCAAGUGUCUCUGCUCCAGUACUUGGGAUCGGAUUUUGGUUAUUUAAAUUGGCAAUUAGAUUUGUUUUUAUUAUUGUACAGGCAUUGACAACCUGUCAAUUUUUGGCACCUCUACCCCUACCUAGAUACACUUUACUGGGUCUAUAUGAUGUUGAGUAAAUCUCAUGUUGGUAGUCGCUUGACCAAAAAUGAAGAAUUGCAUGAAGUUGUUCUUUUCAAUUUUGUCUGGCGUCUUUCUUAGGUUUCUGUAUCUUGAUUGAAAGUUAUAGGUACUCCAUAAACAUUACCAUAAAUAGGUGAUGGUUACAUGUCUUCAAUGGAAGCUUGACUUAAUAUCUUGUUUGUGCAUGAAUAACCAAAGGCACAAGAUUUUCUUGGGUGACCAAAGCAAGUUCUGCAUAAAAGAGAAGUGAAACCAAUUAACUAAUCAAGUAACAAUGUAAAAGAUUAUUUCUAAGAUUAGCUCUCGCUUUAAACUCACGAUUUGCAUCAGGAUGAAAUGAGUUCUCUGCACUUUUGUCCGUGGAAAAUGCAUUUGCAUUUUAUAUUCAUAGCAUACGCAGAAAAUUUGUGAAACAUUUUCUAUAUGUCUUUAGAUCAGCAAUGCUGAUGACACUCCUAUCUUUAAAACUUUCCAAGCUGAUUUUUGUGGUCUCUUGCUUAGACAAACAGAGGUUAGAAUUUUGAAGCUUCUUCAGUAACAUCUAUAUGGAUGGAACUCAAUAACUUUUGGCCCGCAUUUCCUACAAAUAUCCUAUUAAUGUUUAAAACAACUAGCAGUCUAGUUUUGUUUUUUUUAAAUGUCUGUUUCUAUGGAUUUUAAUUUAUUAUUGCUAAAGUCAGCUCACUCUAUUUAAAAUUGUGAUUCUAAGGGGAUGAAAUGGUU
rnacentral:lncRNA from 1 species